GACAGGCUUAACACAUGCAAGUCGAGGGGCAGCACAGGUAGCAAUACCGGGUGGCGACCGGCGCACGGGUGAGUAACGCGUAUGCAACUUGCCUAUCAGAGGGGGAUAACCCGGCGAAAGUCGGACUAAUACCGCAUGAAGCAGGGGCCCCGCAUGGGGAUAUUUGCUAAAGAUUCAUCGCUGAUAGAUAGGCAUGCGUUCCAUUAGGCAGUUGGCGGGGUAACGGCCCACCAAACCGACGAUGGAUAGGGGUUCUGAGAGGAAGGUCCCCCACAUUGGUACUGAGACACGGACCAAACUCCUACGGGAGGCAGCAGUGAGGAAUAUUGGUCAAUGGCCGAGAGGCUGAACCAGCCAAGUCGCGUGAGGGAUGAAGGUUCUAUGGAUCGUAAACCUCUUUUAUAAGGGAAUAAAGUGCGGGACGUGUCCCGUUUUGUAUGUACCUUAUGAAUAAGGAUCGGCUAACUCCGUGCCAGCAGCCGCGGUAAUACGGAGGAUCCGAGCGUUAUCCGGAUUUAUUGGGUUUAAAGGGUGCGUAGGCGGCCUUUUAAGUCAGCGGUGAAAGUCUGUGGCUCAACCAUAGAAUUGCCGUUGAAACUGGGGGGCUUGAGUAUGUUUGAGGCAGGCGGAAUGCGUGGUGUAGCGGUGAAAUGCAUAGAUAUCACGCAGAACCCCGAUUGCGAAGGCAGCCUGCCAAGCCAUUACUGACGCUGAUGCACGAAAGCGUGGGGAUCAAACAGGAUUAGAUACCCUGGUAGUCCACGCAGUAAACGAUGAUCACUAGCUGUUUGCGAUACACUGUAAGCGGCACAGCGAAAGCGUUAAGUGAUCCACCUGGGGAGUACGCCGGCAACGGUGAAACUCAAAGGAAUUGACGGGGGCCCGCACAAGCGGAGGAACAUGUGGUUUAAUUCGAUGAUACGCGAGGAACCUUACCCGGGUUUGAACGCAUUCGGACCGAGGUGGAAACACCUUUUCUAGCAAUAGCCGUUUGCGAGGUGCUGCAUGGUUGUCGUCAGCUCGUGCCGUGAGGUGUCGGCUUAAGUGCCAUAACGAGCGCAACCCUUGCCACUAGUUACUAACAGGUAAAGCUGAGGACUCUGGUGGGACUGCCAGCGUAAGCUGCGAGGAAGGCGGGGAUGACGUCAAAUCAGCACGGCCCUUACAUCCGGGGCGACACACGUGUUACAAUGGCGUGGACAAAGGGAGGCCACCUGGCGACAGGGAGCGAAUCCCCAAACCACGUCUCAGUUCGGAUCGGAGUCUGCAACCCGACUCCGUGAAGCUGGAUUCGCUAGUAAUCGCGCAUCAGCCAUGGCGCGGUGAAUACGUUCCCGGGCCUUGUACACACCGCCCGUCAAGCCAUGGGAGCCGGGGGUACCUGAAGUCCGUAACCGAAAGGAUCGGCCUAGGGUAAAACUGGUGACUGGGGCU
rnacentral:rRNA from 1 species